AGCAGCCGCGGUAAUUCCAGCUCCAAUAGCGUAUAUUAAAGUUGUUGCAGUUAAAAGCUCGUAGUUGAAUUUCGGGAUCAAUUUAUCGGUCGUGCCUACGGUAUGAACUGGUACAAUUGGUUUCUCCCUUCUGACGAAGCAUGAUGCCAUUAAUUUGGUGUCGUGGGGAAUCAGGACUGUUACUUUGAAAAAAUUAGAGUGUUUAAAGCAAGCAUUAGCUUGAAUACAUUAGCAUGGAAUAAUGAAAUAGGACGUUUGAUCCUAUUUCGUUGGUUUCUAGGAUCGACGUAAUGAUUAAUAGGGAUAGUUGGGGGCAUUAGUAUUCAAUUGUCAGAGGUGAAAUUCUUGGAUUUAUUGAAGACUAACUACUGCGAAAGCAUUUGCCAAGGAUGUUUUCAUUAAUCAAGAACGAAAGUUAGGGAUCGAAGACGAUCAGAUACCGUCGUAGUC
rnacentral:rRNA from 1 species